CAAGCGGUGGAUGAUGUGGUUUAAUUCGAUGCAACGCGAAAAACCUUACCUACCCUUGACAUGCCAGGAACUUGCCAGAGAUGGCUUGGUGCUCGAAAGAGAGCCUGGACACAGGUGCUGCAUGGCCGUCGUCAGCUCGUGUCGUGAGAUGUUGGGUUAAGUCCCGCAACGAGCGCAACCCUUGUCAUUAGUUGCUACGAAAGGGCACUCUAAUGAGACUGCCGGUGACAAACCGGAGGAAGGUGGGGAUGACGUCAGGUCCUCAUGGCCCUUAUGGGUAGGGCUACACACGUCAUACAAUGGCCGGUACAGAGGGCUGCCAACCCGCGAGGGGGAGCCAAUCCCAGAAAACCGGUCGUGGUCCGGAUCGUAGUCUGCAACUCGACUGCGUGAAGUCGGAAUCGCUAGUAAUCGCGGAUCAGCUUGCCGCGGUGAAUACGUUCCCGGGUCUUGUACACACCGCCCGUCACACCAUGGG
rnacentral:rRNA from 1 species